rnacentral:rRNA from 1 species
GAACUGAAGAGUUUGAUCCUGGCUCAGAUUGAACGCUGGCGGCAUGCUUUACACAUGCAAGUCGAACGGCAGCAUGGGUGCUUGCACCUGAUGGCGAGUGGCGAACGGGUGAGUAACAUAUCGGAACAUAUCCGGAAGUGGGGGAUAACGUAGCGAAAGUUACGCUAAUACCGCAUAUGCCCUGAGGGGGAAAGG